GAUGUCUUCUUAGAUGACAUUGAUGCAAAGAUCUAAAGGAAAUGAGGGCGGAAGUAUGAAGACACACCUAUAGGAUGUUCAUUCGAGAAAGAGAUCUUCUCCCAGGUGAGUUAAUGGACAAUUUAGACCUUAAUCCUGGAACUUGUUUGAUAUGUAGAAAGAUGUUGGCCACCUUGCUUUUCUUGGAGAGUGUCUUGACUGUUCUUAGCACUUUAUACUUCCGUAAACAUUUUAGAAUAAACUUUGUUGCAUUCCUUCACUUUUCAUUGGGAUUGCAUUGAAUCUAUAAUUAUCCCUUGAGAUCUUACACAUCUUGAAUUUUAUUCCCAGGUACUUGAUAUUUUUAGAUAUUUUCUGCUUGUUAUUAAUAGUAUAUAGAAAUACAGCUAAUUUCUGUCUUAGAUUUUGCAUCUGGAGAAUGGUACUCUCUUUUGUUUUUUUAGGGCCGCACCCGCGGCAUAUGGAGGUUUCCAGGCUAGGGGUCCAACCGGAGCUACAGCUGCUGGCCUACACCACAGCCACAGCCACAGCCACAGCCACAAGGGAUCCUUAAUCCGCUGAGUGGUGGCAAGGGAUCAAACCACAACCUCAUGGUUCCCAGUUGGAUUUGUUUCCACUGCGCCACAACGGGAACUCUGGGAAUGGUACUCUUAAUUUCAAGAGUUGAUCUCUAGAUUCCUUGAGAUUUCUUUAUACACAAUCACCUAUGAAUAAUUUAUUUUUAUUUAACAAACAUUUUUUGGUGCUUUGAAGUGUCACACACUUUCUACAUUAAUUUUAAUGGAGUAUAGUUGACUAUGUACUUUUAAAAUAUUAAUUUAUGUAUUGUUUAGAUUAGGCCUGUGGAGGAGGUACUCAUUAUCCCCAUUUUACAGAUGAGGAAACUGAGACACAGAAUUAUUAAGUACUUUGCCCAGAAUUACAUAGCUGGUAAGUGGCAGAACAGGGAUUCAGUUCUUCCUCUUUGAUUGUCGCCUCCUGUAUUUCUUUUCCUGGACCAUCUGCACUGACUAGGACUAAAUGUAUAAUGCUGACCUAGCAGUGGUUGUGGGAGUAUUGUUGCCUUGUUCAUCUCCAAGGGAAACCUUUCAACGUUUCAACCACUGAUUAUGAUAUUUGCUUCAGAUAUUUCAAUUACCUUGUAUCGAAUUUAUUAAAUUCUCUUCUAACUCGUAAUUUGCCAAGAGUUUUCACCUUGGGAAUAUGUUGAAUUUUAUUUGGCUGUGAUUUUUUAGGGAGGAGGGGCAUCUAUCAUAUAACUGUGGUUUAUUCCUUGAAUGUGUUAAUAUGGUAUGUAUGAUAGCAUAGCUUUCUCCACGUUCAUAUAGUCUCAAACAAUGCGUAUAUUGAUUUUUCAAAUUUUAAACUAACCUCCUGGGAUAAACUUCAAUAUCAGAGUGUGUAAGGCUGAUAGUAUGUCUUCCUCGAAUCUUUGGUAGAAAUUGCUAUUAAGGCUGUCUGAAUCUUCUGGAGUAUUUGUUUUGUCUUUUUAGGGCUGCACCUGCAGUAUAUGGAGGUUCCCAGGCGAGGGGUCGAAUCAGAGCUGUAGCCACCGGCCUACACCACAGCCACAGCAAUGUGGGAUCCGAGCCAUGUCUGUGACACCACAGCUCACAACAACAUUGGAUCCUUAUCCCACUGAGCAAGGCCAGGAAUUGAACCUGCAUCCUCAUGGAUGCUAGUCAGAUUCAUUUCCACUGAACCACGACAGGAACUCUGUUUGUUUUUUUUAAUACCACAGAGAGCCAGGUUUUCAGGGCUAGUAAGCAAUUCCUCAAUUCCUUUUCAACUAUAUAAAAUGAGCAGCAGGCAUGGAAAGCUCUUUCUGCUAUGAGAGUUUGCUAAUCCUAGAAGGUGGAGUUUUGCUAGUAUGUCUGAUGCCGACAUGGUCCUGCAUUUAUUGUUUUUCUUCCCAGCCUUUUGCCUAAGAGCAUUGGAGCCCUUAUUUCUGCUAACUUUUGUCCUGCAUUGAGGAGGUAAAAGAGGUCUUUCAAAACUCCAUGUGUACCAGGUACCUGCGAAUUCUGAAUUCAGGGUGCUAGGAAAACAGAAAGCUUGAAAAGAAAGAAACUGUAGGCUCUCAAGGGCAAAAACCUUAUCUUUCCUUUCGUUGUUCCUAUACGUGUGUACUUAUUUUCCAUGAAGAGGGAAUUGAGGAUAAGCUUGUCAUGAUGGGACAGAACAACUAAGCAAAGGCAUGAGAAUGCGUGUGGGCCAAGGCCUUGGAGUUGGUGACCAAUCACUUCAUUACAUUGUCCACUAGAACAAGUUUUGAAACAGGACAGUGGCUGUAAGGGAACUCCCUGUUAACGAGGUUGUAUGCCAAAUAGGUUAAUUCAUAAAUAUUUUAGGAUGCACGACAGUCACUGGAACAUCUUUUUUUCAGGGUUGGAGUAGCCAAGGCAUGUAAAUUUUGUUUCCAGGGACUUUUUGUUUUUCUAUUCAACGAACAUGUAAUAUGUUCAGCUAAAUUAAGAAAUCAUUGUUGCUGUAGAGGUAAUGUGUGGACUGAUGUUUUAGAGACAAUUACUGUUGAGAGUUUAAAAGGCGCACAAAAGAAUUUCUUUUCCUUUCCCCUUUUUCCUUUCUUUUUCUUUGCUCCGCAUUCUCUUCCCUGCCCCUCUUCUCACAUCACCUUCACCCAUAACCACGCAAAUGACCAAGUAUAUGUGAUAGCAUAGCUUUCUCCACGUUCAUAUCAUCUCACACAAUGCAUGUAUUACAUAGAGUAUUACUUUUUCUCAGUGUCUUAACAGAAAUCAAUCCAAGCCAAGUGAUGUAGCUCCAGUCCAUGCUUUUUAAUGGCCACACAUCGAUGGGUAUUCCCUUUGUGUCUCUUUUGUUUUGUUUUCCUGUCUACAAAACAUUACAAGAAGCAUCCUGGAGUUCCCAUUGUGGCUCAGUGGUAAUGAACCUGACUAGGAUCCCUGAGGAGGUGGGUUUGAUCCCUGGCCCUGCUCAGAGGGUUAAGGAUCUGGUGUUGCCACAAGCUGUGGUGUAGGUCACAGACACAGCUGGGAUCUGGCAUUGCUGUGGCUGUGGCAUCGGCCAGCAGAUGCAGUUCCAAUUUGACCCCUAGCCUGAGAACUUCCAUAUAUCAUGGGUAUGUCCC
rnacentral:lncRNA from 1 species